AUACGGGAGGCAGCAGUGGGGAAUAUUGCGCAAUGGGGGAAACCCUGACGCAGCAACGCCGCGUGAGUGAAGAAGGCCUUCGGGUCGUAAAGCUCUGUCUUUGGGGACGAAAAAUGACGGUACCCAAGGAGGAAGCCACGGCUAACUACGUGCCAGCAGCCGCGGUAAUACGUAGGUGGCGAGCGUUGUCCGGAAUUACUGGGCGUAAAGGGUGCGUAGGCGGUUUCUUAAGUCAGAUGUGAAAACCCCAGGCUUAACCUGGGGACUGCAUUUGAAACUGGGAGGCUAGAGUGCAGGAGAGGGAAGCGGAAUUCCUAGUGUAGCGGUGAAAUGCGUAGAUAUUAGGAAGAACACCAGUGGCGAAGGCGGCUUCCUGGACUGUAACUGACGCUGAGGCACGAAAGCGUGGGGAGCAAACAGGAUUAGAUACCCCGGU
rnacentral:rRNA from 1 species